UGUAAGCGUAUACCAAAGUUGUUGCAGUUAAAACGCUCGUAGUCGGAAUUUGGCAGUUCCGGAUGUGUGCACGUCGUGUGCGCACUUCGCGGGGAUUGCUUUUGUGGUCUUGCGUAGGAUGAGGCACUUUUAAUAGUGAACGUCCUCACGCAACCACUUUUUACUGUGAGAAAAUCAGAGUGCUCAAAGCAGGCAUUUGCCGUGAAUGUAUUAGCAUGGAAUAAUAGAAUAGGACUUGGUUCUAUUUUGUUGGUUUGUUGGGACUGAGUAAUGAUUAAGAGGGACAGUUGGGGGCAUUUGUAUUUCGGUGCUAGAGGUGAAAUUCUUAGAUUACCGAAAGACAAACUGCUGCGAAAGCGUCUGCCAAGGAUGUUUUCAUUGA
rnacentral:rRNA from 1 species